GGUCAUCAAUCGUCAUGCCACCAAAUCAAUCUAUUAUUUAACUUCAUAGUUUUAUAUGGGGGAAAAAAUCCCAUUCAGUAUUUGCUAAGGUAUGUUUUGGCAUUCCUGUAAAACACAUUUUAAAGAUAAUUAUAAAAAAAUUUUCCCAAUCUCAACCCCAAACAUGGCCUAAGUUGAAACCACAGGACUAACCAAAUAUUUGGUCUUAAUAUAAAAUAAAUGAUACAAAGAAACAAGAUCAAGAGUUGUGAUUGCCGCAUAGUUUAUCUCAACCUAUGCAGUAUCUGAUUCUGAGUAUCUUCCACACAAAAUGAGAAGAUUCACUUCCUUCUCAAAGUAAUUGUCCUAUAUGUCAACCAUUUGGGUUCACAUUUAUAUUCAUCAACAUAUUAAUACAGACACACCUCCAUCUUCAGAUUCAGAAAGAGUUUGUUUCUAUGCUGCUCUUGCAACAUCGUUCGUAUCUCUAACUCUGAUUGAAUCAUCAUAGCAUGCAUGUCAGCUGAUACCAGGGAAUGUAAAAUUUACAGUCACUGACGCUUGAAUAUUCACAAGUAAACUAAAAGACAGUUGUAUAGGUUCAAAUAUUUCAACCACACCUUAUUUUUCUGCAAAUUCAUUGGUGUCAGUCAGUUGCUGUGUCCAUAUUGAAGUAUGACUUAUACCAAGCCCAUUGCAGGUAAGUAUCAUUCCUUUAAAUCUGGCAAGAUAUUCCCGCAAAGUGUACUUAUCAAUCUCAUAUAUUCCAUUUAAAUCAUAAUCAGAGCGUUUAGCCGGAUCACUCAACACUUUGUAAGCUUCAUUGAUCUCUUGAAAUUUUGCAGUAACAGCACUAUCACCCUGGUGUUUAUCAGGAUGCCACUUAUAAGAAGCUGCUCAUAGUAGAUGCACCACUAACCAGCGCAAGCUUUAGGUAGUUUAAUCUUAUCUUCUCAUCUGUUGCAUCAUAAUCAACCUCCAAAAUUUUGUAGUAAUCCUUUUGGGUGGUGUUCUCAUCGCCUUCCAUCUGCUAUGGUUAUGGAUUUAGCAUGCAGAUGAUUUUUUGCACACUUCAUCUCAUGGAAGAAAAAACCCAGAGGAUGCUUGAAAUCUUCUAAAAAUAGAUGAACUCAGUUUAGUUUUUACAGAUAUUUUAAAUAAAAACUAAAACGAAAAAGGAAAACUGGGUUUUGUGUGGUGGAAUUUGGGUUUCUUGAAGGAAAAGUGAAGAUUGAGGGACAGGUUCUUCAGAUGCCACGACUGUAUCGAUUAGCGUUUUUUUUUUUUUUU
rnacentral:misc_RNA from 1 species